GGGACACGUGGUAUCCUGUCUGAAUAUGGGGGGACCAUCCUCCAAGGCUAAAUACUCCUGACUGACCGAUAGUGAACCAGUACCGUGAGGGAAAGGCGAAAAGAACCCCGGCGAGGGGAGUGAAAAAGAACCUGAAACCGUGUACGUACAAGCAGUGGGAGCACCUUCGGGUGUGACUGCGUACCUUUUGUAUAAUGGGUCAGCGACUUAUAUUCUGUAGCAAGGUUAACCGUAUAGGGGAGCCGCAGGGAAACCGAGUCUUAACUGGGCGUUAAGUUGCAGGGUAUAGACCCGAAACCCGGUGAUCUAGCCAUGGGCAGGUUGAAGGUUGGGUAACACUAACUGGAGGACCGAACCGACUAAUGUUGAAAAAUUAGCGGAUGACUUGUGGCUGGGGGUGAAAGGCCAAUCAAACCGGGAGAUAGCUGGUUCUCCCCGAAAGCUAUUUAGGUAGCGCCUCGUGAACUCAUCUUCGGGGGUAGAGCACUGUUUCGGCUAGGGGGUCAUCCCGACUUACCAACCCGAUGCAAACUACGAAUACCGAAGAAUGUUAUCACGGGAGACACACGGCGGGUGCUAACGUCCGUCGUGAAGAGGGAAACAACCCAGACCGCCAGCUAAGGUCCCAAAGUCAUGGUUAAGUGGGAAACGAUGUGGGAAGGCACAGACAGCCAGGAUGUUGGCUUAGAAGCAGCCAUCAUUUAAAGAAAGCGUAAUAGCUCACUG
rnacentral:rRNA from 1 species